rnacentral:rRNA from 1 species
AACGAACGUUGGCGGCGUGGAUUAGGCAUGCAAGUUGAGCGAAUCCCCGCAAGGGGGGAAGCAGCGUAAGGGGCAGUAAUGCGUGGGUAUCUACCCUGGGGUCUGGCAUAGCCCUUCGAAAGAAGGGGUAAUUCCAGAUGAUGUCGUGAGACCAAAGGUCCGCCGCCCUGGGAGGAGCCCACGUGAUAUUAGCUAGUUGGUGGGGUAACGGCCCACCAAGGCGAAGAUGUCUAGCGGGUGUGAGAGCACGACCCGCGCCACUGGCACUGAGACGCUGGCCAGACACCGACGGGUGGCUGCAGUCGAGGAUCUUCGGCAAUGGGCGCAAGCCUGACCGAGCGACGCCGCGUGUGCGAUGAAGGCCUUCGGGUCGUAAAGCACUGUCGAGGGGGAGAAAAGCGAAAGCUUGAUCUAUCCCUGGAGGAAGCACGGGCUAAGUUCGUGCCAGCAGCCGCGGUAACAC